rnacentral:rRNA from 1 species
AUUGAACGCUGGCGGCAGGCCUAACACAUGCAAGUCGAGCGGAUGAAGGGAGCUUGCUCCUGGAUUCAGCGGCGGACGGGUGAGUAAUGCCUAGGAAUCUGCCUGGUAGUGGGGGAGAACGUUUCGAAAGGAACGCUAAUACCGCAUACGUCCUAUGGGAGAAAGCAGGGGACCUUCGGGCCUUGCGCUAUCAGAUGAGCCUAGGUCGGAUUAGCUAGUUGGUGAGGUAAAGGCUCACCAAGGCGACGAUCCGUAACUGGUCUGAGAGGAUGAUCAGUCACACUGGAACUGAGACACGGUCCAGACUCCUACGGGAGGCAGCAGUGGGGAAUAUUGGACAAUGGGCGAAAGCCUGAUCCAGCCAUGCCGCGUGUGUGAAGAAGGUCUUCGGAUUGUAAAGCACUUUAAGUUGGGAGGAAGGGUUGUAGAUUAAUACUCUGCAAUUUUGACGUUACCGACAGAAUAAGCACCGGCUAACUCUGUGCCAGCCGCCGCAGUAA